UUGUUCACAAAUGCAAUACCUUCCCCUGGUCCUGUUGGACCCAGUGCCCAACAUCAAACUUGCCCAGAGACUCCAAGGUGUUGUCUAGUUUCCCAACAAAUAACACACACACAGAGAUUAACAUGUAUAAAAUAAUGUGAUGCAUCUUCUGAACACGGCAUGUCAUUCUAGCAGACAGGAAAGGAGUCAGGAAAGAGGGAGAGAUGGCCGACCCAGUGUCCACACAGAAAUGACAAGGUCCUUCACUAUAUUUGGUUUCUUUGUCAGACUGACUCGUCCCUUACAUUAAUCAAUUUAAAUUCUCAAACUAUAGCUAGUGAGAUGUACUUGUAUUGUGUAAUAUCAAAUUAAAAAAUUAUCAUCACAGGUCUUUUCCUGCCCUUUUUGGAGCCAGUGGAAAGCGCUGGCGUGUUCAAGGGCCUUCCAACCACUUCACACCAGUCAAAGAGAUAGAAGUUACAUUUUAUCUCUUACCCAAGAUUGUUGAGCACACUCCCAAAGGCAGUGAAGAAGUUUUCCAUCUGCAAGCUGGUUUGGGACGCAGGUCCACGCUGAUACCAGGGAACUACACCCAUGAUGAGGUAUGUUCAACUCUCAAAGAUCUUUGUCCAAAACUUGAAAGUGUGUCUGGGGGCUGGCUGAUUUACAAAGGAGCAGGUACCUAGAACUUACCCAUGGAAAAUCUAAUCUUGGUAUAAAAUCAUUUGAAUCAAUAUCUUGAGUGAUGAGCUUUCUGUAGAUAUAUUUAUCAUGUAUGU
ensembl:lncRNA